UGCAUAGGUCGGGAAUCGAAUAUAUAAUCGAAUAUCGCGUGGCAGGCGAGCAUUCUACCACUGAACCACCGAUGC